UACGGAGGGGGCGAGCGUUAUUCGGAAUUAUUGGGCGUAAAGGGCGCGUAGGCGGCCCUGUAAGUCAAAGGUGAAAUCCCUCGGCUCAACUGAGGAACUGCCUUUGAAACUGCAGGGCUUGAGGCCGGGAGGGGGUAGCGGAAUUCCCAAUGUAGCGGUGAAAUGCGUAGAUAUUGGGAGGAACACCAGUGGCGAAGGCGGCUACCUGGACCGGUUCUGACGCUGAGGCGCGAAAGCGUGGGUAGCAAACAGG
rnacentral:rRNA from 1 species